CACUGUCCGCUAUAUAAGGGCGUUGCGUGGGAAAGCACUCCCUUUUUCCUACUCGUCGCUGAGAGGAGAGGUCCAGCAAGCAGGAGCGAGCAACAUGUGCUGGAGACCUGGCCUGGUAGCGUAAGGCCAGGCGCGGCCCCAGGAGAGAACCAGCAGGAAGCACCGUUUCUCUAGUUAUGAACCCACUGUGUCCAUUGCCCCUCGUGGAGGAGGCAGCGGUCCAUGGCAGCAAGGUGGAGCAGCAUGAGCCUGGGUGACCUGGCUCACUGAGAGAAAGGUGACAUGGUGACCUGAAGCAGACUUGGAAAGAGAGGCCACUGCCCUGGUUAACUAGCCACUUGUGAGCCAUUAAUAGGAGAGAGUGGGACUAUUACGUUGUCCAUAGACGUAGACUUGAGGAUCAUCUUAAGGUGAAGGAGUUGUCAAUGUCAGCACGAAGCAGAAAUUGCACUGUGAAGUAGCAGAAAGUUCUCCUGUACUAUUGCAAUCAUUCACCAAAGUGACAGCAAAAUAUCCCAAGCUAAGCUGUUGUGUCCACAUUGCUCUGCAAUGACUUCAUGGUCAAGCUUCCCUCUUUCUGUGUGGAGUAAGAAAUACUGCAUGUCCUGCCUCCUUAAGAGAUGCCUAGGGGCUUUAUCCGCUCCACCGACACUGACUUGGACUCCUUAUUCAUUCCAUGGGUGGCGAACCCGAGCCUACUUAUUUACUGAUACUUUAAAAAACCCUUGCACCCCAAUCUGGGUCUGUGCUGGUUGAGAUGUAUGUAUUUUUUCAUCCUUGCAACGGUAUCUGUAACCCCCCCUAUAACCCAAGCCUGACCCCAGAUGUACAAUACCUUCCUUCUCAGCCUGUAUGUAUUUCAUUUCAAACAUUUCCUUUAAUAAAAUGUAUUGCCUCAAAACUCAUGAGCCAUUUUAUUAGAAGGGAUUGACUAUCUAUGGAUCUUGAUGUCUUUUUAUGCAGUAACAUACUAUGUCAAGUGUUUGUGUCCAUAAUAGCUGUGUUCACCUCCAUGCAAGCUGGGUUCAACCUGCUGCUGUAAUGUGGAAGAUAAUGUACUAAAAAUCAUUAAAAGUACUGAGGUAACUUCUUAAGUG